UGACGGACAUUCUUUUUUAAUUCUCAUUAAAGUCGUUUCGGGUGCAGUGUCGCGACACAAGUUGCUAAUUAGUACAGAUUUUCUAGAUACGUUGGAAACUAAUGUUAGACGAGGCAUAGUGACGAUUAAGCCGAUUUCUGAACAAACAAUCGACGAUGAUGAUGUGUUUGAGAUAUUUCAGAUUGACGUAGAAGGUAUAUACGGGCUGAAUGAGAUAGAUGUAGAACGUAUCCAAGAUCCUAAAUGUAGACGCGCCGUUGCAAUGUUAAUUAAAGAUUACAGGCCGAAUCAAGCGCGUGAGACGUAUAUAAAAAUGACUAUUAUUGUGAAAGACGAAUCCGUGUGUCAGCGUGCGAGGCGUUUAUCACCAUUCGAAAAGAAUAUUGUUAACAAUCAAAUCAAAAAGUGAGAAAGGCAAGGGAUUAUUCGCCCUUCCUCCUCUGACUAUGUUAGCCCAACUGUCCAGGGAUGGCUCGUAUCGACUUUGUGUAGACUAUAGACUAUUAAAUAAAAAGAUAAUAAAAGACCGGUAUCCUUUGCCGCUGAUUGAAGAUCAGCUCGAUAGAUUACAGAGCGCUAAAGUUUACAUUGAUUUGAAGAACGGUUUUUUCAUGUACGAGUGGAUGAGGCAAGCGUGAAAUAUACCGCGUUCAUCGUUCCUGAUGGCCACUACUAAUUUUUGAGGGUAUCUUUCAGUCUCUGCAAUUCGCCCUCCGUUUUCCAGAGGUAUGUUAACGCGAUCUUUAGGAAUUUAGUAAUGGACGAGAUAUAACGUUAAUUUACAUGGAUGAUUUGAUUAUGUUCUCUAACGAUUUUGAUGAUGAUCUAAGAAAUCUUACGAGGGUAAUCUAUACUGCUAAUCGCGUUGGCUUGUUGAUAAAUUGGCACAAAUAUUGCUUCUUGAAGGGAAAGGUCGAAUUUCUUGGACAUGUGAUAGGCGGUGGUUGCGUCCGACCAUCUGAAUGUAAGACCGAAGCUGUAAGAUAUUUCCCUAUACCCAAAACCAUUCGUCAGAUACAAGAGUUUUUAGGACGGGGUAUUUUCGUAAAUUCGUUCCAAGAUACGCGGCGAUUGCGCGGCUGUUGUCCGAUCUUUUGAGGGCGCAAGCUAGUUUUCGUUUCGAAGCGGCGGAGAGAAAUGCAUUUAGAUAACUAAAGAUUUUUUUAUGUGAUCAUCCGGUGUUAAGUUUAUACCGCGUAGGCGUCGAGACCGAAUUACAUACAGAUGCGUUAAAAUAUGGUUACGGGGAAAUUCUCUUACAGCAAAAUAGCGAGGUUAGUUGUUACAUCCUAUUUACUACGCGAGCGGUAAAACUACAUUAGCGGAGGAGAAAUAUUCAAGCUAUGACUUGGAAGUCCUCGCAAUUAUUAAAGCAUUUAAGCGAUUCCGCACCUAUUUACUCGGUAUAGAUUUUAAAAUUAUAACUGACUAUCGUGCGUUUGCGCUUACGAUGAGCAAAAAAGAUAUCUGUGUGCGUAAGUCCGAUGGGCUUUGUUGUUGGAGGAAUUUUGUUAUACAGUGGAGCACCGGUCGGGUAUGCUGCAUGUAGACGCGCUGAGCGCGGAACCUUCUCCCUUCUUGUUAACGAAUGUGAAAAGGGAUUGAUGGCUCGUUUCAAGAAAGCUCAACAAGGAGACGACGAGAUGAGAUGGAUUUCGGACUCUGUGAGAUAAGGACGAGCAAACAAUUAUGCUUUGCGAGGAGGACUCCUGUAUAAGGAGGUUGAGGAUGAGUCACGCCUUGUUAUGUUUAAUUUAAUACAAAUGCAGAUAAUACGAAAAGUACAUGAAGACAUUUUGCGGCCGCUAAAACGGAAGCGCUGCUGUGCAAUGAUUAUUGGAUUCCGGGGUUGCGAUCUAAGGUAGAAAUGGCCAUACGUAAUCGCGUCGCGAACGGAAGCAAGGGAAGCAGGAAGAAGAAUAAUUUCGGAUAGGAACGCCGCGUUUACUUCCAAGGAGUUCGAGGAAUAUUGUCGGCAUGAAGGCAUUGAACAUCCUCUGAUUAUUAUCACAAGGUAACGGACAAGUUGAAAGGGUCAACCGGACGUUAAUCCCGCUACUGACGAAGUUGUCCGCUCCAAAAGCUGACGAGUGGUACAAACAUUUGAAUACGGCGCAGCAAUGUUUGAAUACUACGUUGAAUAGAAGCAUUGGCAUGGCGUCAUUUCUUCUUUUGUUCGGUGUCAA